rnacentral:rRNA from 1 species
UACCAGCACCCCGAGUGGUCGGGACGAUUAUUGGGCCUAAAGCAUCCGUAGCCGGUCCUACAAGUCUUCCGUUAAAUCCACCUGCUCAACAGAUGGGCUGCGGAGGAUACUAUAGAGCUAGGAGGCGGGAGAGGCAAGCGGUACUUAGUGGGUAGGGGUAAAAUCCGUUGAUCCAUUGAAGACCACCAGUGGCGAAGGCGGCUUGCCAGAACGCACUCGACGGUGAGGGAUGAAAGCUGGGGGAGCAAACAGG